rnacentral:lncRNA from 1 species
AUACUGAAACCGAGUAGGGGAGAAAAGUCCAUUUCAAAAAUCAAUCGAUCAGUAAGAGAAAACAAACAAACAAAAAACAGCCUUUAUUUACUCUACAAGCACCCUUAAGGUCUCAUUGUCCUGAGGUCGUCAAAAUAACCGUUGCUUUGGCAUCAUGGCUGUGCACACCUAACUUGGAAUUACUUAAUUCAUUAUGAUGCUUCCAAAGAAAAUCCUUUUGGUUGAUGAAAGCAGGAGAUAAAGAUAAUAAUGGCAACCAUCGACUGAAGUACUAGGCACUGAAUGAAGUGCCUCAUAUGAACUAUCCACUUAGCUCCUGCAGUAAACCCUUAAUGGCGCUAUUAGUAUCCCCAGUUUAGGGAUAGAGAAGCUAACGCUCAGAGAGAGAAAGUGAUUUGCCCAAAGCCACAGUGUUAGCAGGUGACACAACCAAGAUUCAGACCCAGGUUCUUCGUCUACCCUAACAGUAUUGCCAAAGAGAGAUUCCAAAGUUACCGCCUGGCCACUGGGUAAACCUCCGCAGCAGAGAGACCUACUUUAUGUUUCAUUUUCAAGCUCCUAUGGAGCCCAGCAGAGAGAGCUGACAAGGAGGAAUACUGCGAGGGGCUCACAGACUAAGACAAUCUGCUGGGAAAUUAGGAGUUUGAAACAUCCAACUAAGAAGCCUAAGGUUUAGACUGCAUCAUAUUCUAAUAACAACAGGAUUAUAAUAUCAAAUGAGACUCUCUGACCCUGCAAAUCUGGAACCAGCUGUAUAGGGACUUUGAACCUCCCUUUUCUCCAAUCUGCUGGUGUUUGUCAUCCUAAUAUAUACCUCAUAUUUUCUUUCUGAAAAUAAUUUUUAAAAUAUACCCAUCAUACAUACGGCA